GCAGUCGAGCGGACCGACGGGAGCUUGCUCCCUUAGGUCAGCGGCGGACGGGUGAGUAACACGUGGGUAACCUGCCUGUAAGACUGGGAUAACUCCGGGAAACCGGGGCUAAUACCGGAUGCUUGAUUGAACCGCAUGGUUCAAUCAUGAAAGGCGGCUUCGGCUGCCGUUUACAGAUGGACCCGCGGCGCAUUAGCUAGUUGGUGAGGUAACGGCUCACCAAGGCGACGAUGCGUAGCCGACCUGAGAGGGUGAUCGGCCACACUGGGACUGAGACACGGCCCAGACUCCUACGGGAGGCAGCAGUAGGGAAUCUUCCGCAAUGGACGAAAGUCUGACGGAGCAACGCCGCGUGAGUGAUGAAGGUUUUCGGAUCGUACAGCUCUGUUGUUAGGGAAGAACAAGUACCGUUCGAAUAGGGCGGUACCUUGACGGUACCUAACCAGAAAGCCACGGCUAACUACGUGCCAGCAGCCGCGGUAAUACGUAGGUGGCAAGCGUUGUCCGGAAUUA
rnacentral:rRNA from 1 species